rnacentral:rRNA from 1 species
CCUACGGGAGGCUGCAGUGAGGAAUAUUGGUCAAUGGACGAGAGUCUGAACCAGCCAAGUAGCGUGAAGGAUGACUGCCCUAUGGGUUGUAAACUUCUUUUAUAUGGGAAUAAAAUGUUCCACGUGUGGGAUUUUGUAUGUACCAUAUGAAUAAGGAUCGGCUAACUCCGUGCCAGCAGCCGCGGUAAUACGGAGGAUCCGAGCGUUAUCCGGAUUUACUGGGUUUAAAGGGAGUGUAGGUGGAUUUUUAAGUCAGUUGUGAAAGGUAGCGGCUCAACCGUAAGAUUGCAGUUGAAACUGGCAGUCUUGAGUACAGGAGAGGUGGGCGGAAUUCGGGGUGUAGCGGUGAAAUGCGUAGAUAUCACGAAGAACUCCAGUGGCGAAGGCAGCUCGCUGGACUGCAACUGACACUGAGGCGCGAAAGUGUGGGUAUCAAACAGGAUUAGAUACCCCAGUAGUC